UCAGGAUGAUCGAUGGCACAUGCAUGGCUUCUGUUCGGUGUGUGCGACAAUGCUUGCCUCGAUCGCCAGUUCGCCUGCGAUGUCACGAGUCAUAACUCACAAGGAUUGGACUGGAGUUGGGAUCGACGCAACUCAACACACACGCAUGCAUUUGAUUGCUGCCUUGCCGAUAAGAGCAUCUCCAGCCGACUCUAGGAUGACUCUUCAAGUGUGUAUGAGGCGACAGCGAGCGCCCGCGCCGUACCGUCGGGACUGCCGCCUUUCCCCUUGCCCCUCGCUCCUCCUCCUCCUCUCGAGCCAGCCGCGAAGAGUUCGUCGGCCCCCUUUCCCCUCCGACUCCGGUGACUUCGGUCACCGGUGGUGGGGUUCAGGUUAGUCUGAUAGAUUCUGUAGUAGGCUAAAUCCUUUUGUUUUGUUUUGUUUGUGUUUUCCUUCUCUGUGCAGCUCGAGGGGUUAUCGACGUCGCGUCCUCUGGUCUCGGUGUAAUAUCAUGGAUGUUGAUCUCUGUGGUGACAGUUUUGAGUUUUUCCAUGGUGUCUUCAACUGGAUGUGCUGCAGUCAAUGAAGCCUCAACCUCCAUCGAAGACCCCUUUUGGGUUUGCUUCUUGGCGUUCAUCUAUAGCUGCUUGUGGUGUUCAAAUUACCGUCGUCGUCGUCAUAGAUGUCUUCGUCCAGGCAGAGAAGCAACGAAGGGUCUGAUUGCUUUUUUUUGGAUCUUCUAAAAUCCUUUGUUGCAAAAGUCCUGAGCUUAGGUUAAUUUGGCCGUCUUUAAAGGUCCUCUUUGCAAAACUACUGGUGUAUACAGUUCAAUCCUCGGUGUCGAGGACUACUCAUGACAUGUGUACACUUUCCUACUAAAUAAAGUGCAUGAGUUUAAAAAA